AGAGUUUGAUCAUGGCUCAGAUUGAACGCUGGCGGAAUGCUUUACACAUGCAAGUCGAACGGCAGCACGGGGCAACCUGGUGGCGAGUGGCGAACGGGUGAGUAAUACAUCGGAACGUGCCCAAUCGCGGGGGAUAACGUAGCGAAAGUUACGCUAAUACCGCAUACGAUCUACGGAUGAAAGCGGGGGAUCGCAAGACCUCGCGCGAAUGGAGCGGCCGAUGUCAGAUUAGGUAGUUGGUGGGGUAAAGGCUCACCAAGCCAACGAUCUGUAGCUGGUCUGAGAGGACGACCAGCCACACUGGAACUGAGACACGGUCCAGACUCCUACGGGAGGCAGCAGUGGGGAAUUUUGGACAAUGGGCGCAAGCCUGAUCCAGCCAUUCCGCGUGCAGGAUGAAGGCCUUCGGGUUGUAAACUGCUUUUGUACGGAACGAAACGGCGAGCUCUAAUACAGUUUGCUAAUGACGGUACCGUAAGAAUAAGCACCGGCUAACUACGUG
rnacentral:rRNA from 1 species